rnacentral:rRNA from 1 species
GGGUUGUGAGGUUAAGCGACUAAGCGUACACGGUGGAUGCCCUGGCAGUCAGAGGCGAUGAAGGACGUGCUAAUCUGCGAAAAGCGUCGGUAAGGUGAUAUGAACCGUUAUAGCCGGCGAUGUCCGAAUGGGGAAACCCAGUGCAAUUCGUUGCACUAUCGUUAACUGAAUACAUAGGUUAACGAGGCGAACCGGGGGAACUGAAACAUCUAAGUACCCCGAGGAAAAGAAAUCAACCGAGAUUCCCCCAGUAGCGGCGAGCGAACGGGGAGCAGCCCAGAGUCUGAAUCAGCUUGUGUGUUAGUGGAACGGUCUGGAAAGUCCGACGGUACAGGGUGAUAGUCCCGUACACCAAAAUGCACAGGCUGUGAACUCGAAGAGUAGGGCGGGACACGUGGUAUCCUGUCUGAAUAUGGGGGGACCAUCCUCCAAGGCUAAAUACUCCUGACUGACCGAUAGUGAACCAGUACCGUGAGGGAAAGGCGAAAAGAACCCCGGCGAGGGGAGUGAAAAAGAACCUGAAACCGUGUACGUACAAGCAGUGGGAGCACCUUCGGGUGUGACUGCGUACCUUUUGUAUAAUGGGUCAGCGACUUAUAUUCUGUAGCAAGGUUAACCGUAUAGGGGAGCCGCAGGGAAACCGAGUCUUAACUGGGCGUUAAGUUGCAGGGUAUAGACCCGAAACCCGGUGAUCUAGCCAUGGGCAGGUUGAAGGUUGGGUAACACUAACUGGAGGACCGAACCGACUAAUGUUGAAAAAUUAGCGGAUGACUUGUGGCUGGGGGUGAAAGGCCAAUCAAACCGGGAGAUAGCUGGUUCUCCCCGAAAGCUAUUUAGGUAGCGCCUCGUGAACUCAUCUUCGGGGGUAGAGCACUGUUUCGGCUAGGGGGUCAUCCCGACUUACCAACCCGAUGCAAACUACGAAUACCGAAGAAUGUUAUCACGGGAGACACACGGCGGGUGCUAACGUCCGUCGUGAAGAGGGAAACAACCCAGACCGCCAGCUAAGGUCCCAAAGUCAUGGUUAAGUGGGAAACGAUGUGGGAAGGCACAGACAGCCAGGAUGUUGGCUUAGAAGCAGCCAUCAUUUAAAGAAAGCGUAAUAGCUCACUGGUCGAGUCGGCCUGCGCGGAAGAUGUAACGGGGCUAAACCAUGCACCGAAGCUGCGGCAGCGACACUAUGUGUUGUUGGGUAGGGGAGCGUUCUGUAAGCCUGCGAAGGUGUGCUGUGAGGCAUGCUGGAGGUAUCAGAAGUGCGAAUGCUGACAUAAGUAACGAUAAAGCGGGUGAAAAGCCCGCUCGCCGGAAGACCAAGGGUUCCUGUCCAACGUUAAUCGGGGCAGGGUGAGUCGACCCCUAAGGCGAGGCCGAAAGGCGUAGUCGAUGGGAAACAGGUUAAUAUUCCUGUACUUGGUGUUACUGCGAAGGGGGGACGGAGAAGGCUAUGUUAGCCGGGCGACGGUUGUCCCGGUUUAAGCAUGUAGGCUGGUUGUCCAGGCAAAUCCGGAUAAUCAAGGCUGAGGUGUGAUGACGAGGCACUACGGUGCUGAAGUAACAAAUGCCCUGCUUCCAGGAAAAGCCUCUAAGCAUCAGGUAACAUCAAAUCGUACCCCAAACCGACACAGGUGGUCAGGUAGAGAAUACCAAGGCGCUUGAGAGAACUCGGGUGAAGGAACUAGGCAAAAUGGUGCCGUAACUUCGGGAGAAGGCACGCUGGUGUGUAGGUGAAGCCCCUGCGGGUGGAGCUGAGACCAGUCGAAGAUACCAGCUGGCUGCAACUGUUUAUUAAAAACACAGCACUGUGCAAACACGAAAGUGGACGUAUACGGUGUGACGCCUGCCCGGUGCCGGAAGGUUAAUUGAUGGGGUUAUCCGUAAGGAGAAGCUCUUGAUCGAAGCCCCGGUAAACGGCGGCCGUAACUAUAACGGUCCUAAGGUAGCGAAAUUCCUUGUCGGGUAAGUUCCGACCUGCACGAAUGGCGUAAUGAUGGCCAGGCUGUCUCCACCCGAGACUCAGUGAAAUUGAACUCGCUGUGAAGAUGCAGUGUACCCGCGGCAAGACGGAAAGACCCCGUGAACCUUUACUAUAGCUUGACACUGAACAUUGAGCCUUGAUGUGUAGGAUAGGUGGGAGGCUUUGAAGCGUGGACGCCAGUCUGCGUGGAGCCAACCUUGAAAUACCACCCUUUAAUGUUUGAUGUUCUAACGUUGGCCCCUGACCGGGGUUGCGGACAGUGUCUGGUGGGUAGUUUGACUGGGGCGGUCUCCUCCCAAAGCGUAACGGAGGAGCACGAAGGUUAGCUAAUCCUGGUCGGACAUCAGGAGGUUAGUGCAAUGGCAUAAGCUAGCUUGACUGCGAGCGUGACGGCGCGAGCAGGUGCGAAAGCAGGUCAUAGUGAUCCGGUGGUUCUGAAUGGAAGGGCCAUCGCUCAACGGAUAAAAGGUACUCCGGGGAUAACAGGCUGAUACCGCCCAAGAGUUCAUAUCGACGGCGGUGUUUGGCACCUCGAUGUCGGCUCAUCACAUCCUGGGGCUGAAGUAGGUCCCAAGGGUAUGGCUGUUCGCCAUUUAAAGUGGUACGCGAGCUGGGUUUAGAACGUCGUGAGACAGUUCGGUCCCUAUCUGCCGUGGGCGCUGGAGAAUUGAGGGGGGCUGCUCCUAGUACGAGAGGACCGGAGUGGACGCAUCACUGGUGUUCGGGUUGUCAUGCCAAUGGCACUGCCCGGUAGCUAAAUGCGGAAGAGAUAAGUGCUGAAAGCAUCUAAGCACGAAACUUGCCCCGAGAUGAGUUCUCCCUGAGACUUUAAGUCUCCUGAAGGAACGUUAAAGACGAUGACGUUGAUAGGCCGGGUGUGUAAGCGCAGCGAUGCGUUGAGCUAACCGGUACUAAUGAACCGUGAGGCUUAACCUUACAACGCCGAAG